UUUUAUGGAGAGUUUGAUCCUGGCUCAGGACGAACGCUGGCGGCGUGCCUAAUACAUGCAAGUCGAGCGAACAGAAAAGGAGCUUGCUCCUUUGACGUUAGCGGCGGACGGGUGAGUAACACGUGGGCAACCUACCCUAUAGUUUGGGAUAACUCCGGGAAACCGGGGCUAAUACC
rnacentral:rRNA from 1 species